rnacentral:rRNA from 1 species
UUGUCCUUAGUUACCAGCACGUUAUGGGUGGGCACUCUAAGGAGACUGCCGGUGAACAAACCGGAGGAAGGGUGGGAUGACGUCAAGUCAUCAUGGCCCUUACGGCCUGGGCUACACACGUGCUACAAUGGUCGGUACAAAGGGUUGCCAAGCCGCGAGGUGGAGCUUAAUCCCAUAAAACCGAUCGUAGUCCGGAUCGCAGUCUGCAACUCGACUGCGUGAAGUCGGAAUCGCUAGUAAUCGUGAAUCAGAAUGUCACGGUGAAUACGUUCCCGGGCCUU